UAGGGAAUUGUUCGCAAUGGGCGCAAGCCUGACGACGCAACGCCGCGUGGAGGAUGAAGGCCUUCGGGUCGUAAACUCCUUUCGAUCGAGACGAAUGAUCUCCGGGUGAACAAUCCGGGGAAAUGACGGUACCGAGAGAAGAAGCCCCGGCUAACUCCGUGCCAGCAGCCGCGGUAAUACGGAGGGCGCAAGCGUUGUUCGGAAUUACUGGGCGUAAAGCGCGGGCAGGCGGUCUGUUAAGUCGUUUGUGAAAAUCCGGGGCUCAACCCCGGAAAUGCAUACGAUACUGGCAGGCUGGAGACUGGUAGAGGCUAGCGGAAUUCCUGGUGUAGCGGUGGAAUGCGUAGAUAUCAAGAGGAACACCUGAGGUGAAGACGGGUUGCUGGGCUGACACUGACGCUGAGGCGCGAAAGCCAGGGGAGCAAACGGGAUUAGAUACCCAUGUAGUCCCUGAGCGGGCUGGCAAGGCGCAU
rnacentral:rRNA from 1 species